rnacentral:rRNA from 1 species
UGCGGCCUUGGGGGCGUGCUAUAAUGCAAGUCGUACGCUUUUUCUUUCACCGGAGCUUGCUCCACCGAAAGAAAAAGAGUGGCGAACGGGUGAGUAACACGUGGGUAACCUGCCCAUCAGAAGGGGAUAACACUUGGAAACAGGUGCUAAUACCGUAUAACACUAUUUUCCGCAUGGAAGAAAGUUGAAAGGCGCUUUUGCGUCACUGAUGGAUGGACCCGCGGUGCAUUAGCUAGUUGGUGAGGUAACGGCUCACCAAGGCAACGAUGCAUAGCCGACCUGAGAGGGUGAUCGGCCACACUGGGACUGAGACACGGCCCAGACUCCUACGGGAGGCAGCAGUAGGGAAUCUUCGGCAAUGGACGAAAGUCUGACCGAGCAACGCCGCGUGAGUGAAGAAGGUUUUCGGAUCGUAAAACUCUGUUGUUAGAGAAGAACAAGGAUGAGAGUAAAAUGUUCAUCCCUUGACGGUAUCUAACCAGAAAGCCACGGCUAACUACGUGCCAGCAGCCGCGGUAAUACGUAGGUGGCAAGCGUUGUCCGGAUUUAUUGGGCGUAAAGCGAGCGCAGGCGGUUUCUUAAGUCUGAUGUGAAAGCCCCCGGCUCAACCGGGGAGGGUCAUUGGAAACUGGGAGACUUGAGUGCAGAAGAGGAGAGUGGAAUUCCAUGUGUAGCGGUGAAAUGCGUAGAUAUAUGGAGGAACACCAGUGGCGAAGGCGGCUCUCUGGUCUGUAACUGACGCUGAGGCUCGAAAGCGUGGGGAGCGAACAGGAUUAGAUACCCUGGUAGUCCACGCCGUAAACGAUGAGUGCUAAGUGUUGGAGGGUUUCCGCCCUUCAGUGCUGCAGCAAACGCAUUAAGCACUCCGCCUGGGGAGUACGACCGCAAGGUUGAACUCAAAGGAAUUGACGGGGGCCCGCACAAGCGGUGGAGCAUGUGGUUUAAUUCGAAGCAACGCGAGACCUUACCAGGUCUUGACAUCCUUUGACCACUCUAGAGAUAGAGCUUCCCCUUCGGGGCAAAGGUGACAGGUGGUGCAUGCUGUCGUCAGCCUCGUGUCGUGGAGAUGUGGUUAGUCCCGCACGGAGCGCAACCCUUAAUUGUUAGUGCAUCAUUUAGUUGGCACUCUUAGGCGGAACUGCGGUACAAACGGAGACGGGUGGGAUGACGUCAAUCUUCAUUGGCCUUAAUGUGACUCUUGGCCCCUA